AUUGAGUCCUACCUGUAAUUCACGGAUAAGGUUGGUUGUGCCCCUCUGCUGGAGGAUCUCAGUCCAACUACUCUGGAUGCAUCUAUGACAUGGUGGACAAGGCAGUAGAAGCAUGUGACAUGGCAGCCAAGGGAGUUGUUUUGUGGGAUGAAGUGUUGGUAAAGACAACAAGCCCCAAGGAUCUGCAUAUGCGUUGCAAGUAACUCUGCCGCAACCGCGGCCGGCUGUGCUUCUUCCUUGGCUACAAACCACCUAGGUGAAUGGAACUCCGUUGAGGACUUCUACCCAUGUUGAAGAGCAGCUAGCUUUUGUACUGGUAGAGCGGUCUAUUUGUAGAUCCCAUUAUUUAUGAUUGUGUGGAUCUGGGUGAAGUUUGAAGUUCCUGGGUAUGCAAGAUUCGAUGGUUAAACUGGUUGAUGUGAUGUGAAUGAUUGUAUGAAAACUGGUUGUUGUGAUGUGAAUGAGUGUAUGU